rnacentral:lncRNA from 1 species
CUAACUCCUCGGCCUUUUCCCUCCGCCUCUCCUCAGCAGCCCGGCGCAUCUCAUCUUCCUGUAGCCGCUGUCGUGCUGCUGACAACUCUUGCCCUUGUCUCCUGCGCUGCCGUUCCCGUUCCAAUGCCUCCCGUUCCUCUCUUUCUUCACGCUCCCGCUGCUUCUGGGCCACCAGCUCCAACAUCCUGUGUUGCCGAGGGAAAACAGUUCAAGAGAAAUGGACAGAGUGGGAAGGUGUAAAGUUUACAAUAAACAAAAUUAGGCGACAUAUAUCCCAAAGUAGAUUAAAGGAAAAGAAAAUGCCAAGAAAGAGGAAAUGUGGAAAGGUCAAGGUUCUUUGACCAGACGUGUACUGGGGAGAGAUGGAAGACGACCCUCAGACACGUGAGAUUGUUGUUACUGUACCUCUUAGUUUGUUCCUGUCUUUCCUCUUCACUCAAAGCGGGUUUGCCUUCUCCGGCAGCAGAACCAGAUCCUACAAACAAACAAUCGGUAUUAUUAUCCCUUCAGAUUCUCCUCGGACCCUCCUGAAUAAUCACACCGUGGACCCUCAGUCAGGACCUUCAAGGCCGCCUUGCUCUGAGGAAGUGGGCUCCCGUCCCAGGAUAUGUCCAAGGGGAGUCUCUAAAGGCUCGUCCACAUCGGGGUCGUCU